GCAGAUGAAGUUUGCAGCUGAGAAUACUUUAACUGCAGCCUAUCACUGAGUUUUUCUAAUAACCCAUACGUUAUAUAAAGUAAAAUAAUCUCUGUGGUUCUCUGGUUCUCUCUCCCCCCCUCCUCUUUCUGCUUUGAUAUUUUCCUGUCUUUCAUUUCUGCCCAUCUGGAGCUGGAGUUGAAUUAUGGAGUAUGAUCAGUGUAGAUUUGUCUCUCUCCCCCUGGAUCAUAACCUUCUUAUUGAUUCCCUCAGCUCCUGGUGCUUACUUACACGCUCUUGCUUCUUCUCCACCCUUUCUUCCAUGGUUUUGCCUGUCUCCUUGCUUGGGUCUCUUCCUGUCUGAUUUUUAUAACCACAUUUAUCCUUCUCCCACUGAGAGCUAGACUGUACCUUGUGCCACGGCUCCAAAAUAGGAUACAGCAGGUCAAGUUGUGUCAAAGAAGUGUUUCUGAGCUUGAAGAGGCAUUGCCUCCCAGGACACCCACAGCUUUUCCUGUUUCUCUUUCACAUGAAGUGGAUUAACUUCAUGUCUGUCCUUAAUAGGGCUGGCUGGAGUGUUGUAAGCAUAGGCUGGAUGUGCUGCAAGCCUCUCCUAAAAUGAUCACUGUCAUUACUUUGAUUUUCCUUAAAGAUUUUAGGACUUCUAGCUGUGUAACCAGGUCAGGGACAUGGAGAGAUUUUUA
rnacentral:lncRNA from 12 species